CCGCCCCGUUCCUCCUGCCUCCAGCCAGCCCAGCCCGGAGAGGACACGGCUACACACAUGUGCCCGUCCUCAGCAUCCCCGCACCGUCCGCCUGCAGCUGGAAAAGACCAUCCUCCUGGGUCCUUAAUGGCAUUUAAUCCUUUGAGUUGAUUAAAAUAGUAUAUUAACUGGAAGACUUGGGCGUAAUGGGAAUAACAGACAUACGCAGGGCGUAAAUGCAUGGCAAUGUUCCCUCGUCCUCCGCCGGGAGCUCGCAGGGCUGUUCCUGCCCGUCCCUCCUCCGUGUCCCGCUCUGCUAGGAGCACCGAGGUUUUACAGCCUCCUCCGUGGAGCCCAGGGCUCGAGGGCCCCUCUGGAAGCCCCGGCUGGAGGGCGAUCCCCCCUCCCAGGCUCUGGUGGCCCCGUGGCCGGGCUGCGUGGUGGCUCUGCAGCGGUGGGACGUGCAGAAAUCCCCAAGGUUGCUCUCAAGACUCCCGUGCCCCCCCACUGAGCUUUACUCUGGAUUUUAUGUUCCCUUUCCUUAAAUAAAGAAAAAGCCCUUGUUUUUCGAAUCCCA